GAUGAACGCUGGCGGCGUGCCUAAUACAUGCAAGUCGAGCGAACAGACGAGGAGCUUGCUCCUCUGACGUUAGCGGCGGACGGGUGAGUAACACGUGGAUAACCUACCUAUAAGACUGGGAUAACUUCGGGAAACCGGAGCUAAUACCGGAUAAUAUAUUGAACCGCAUGGUUCAAUGGUGAAAGACGGUUUUGCUGUCACUUAUAGAUGGAUCCGCGCCGCAUUAGCUAGUUGGUAAGGUAACGGCUUACCAAGGCAACGAUGCGUAGCCGACCUGAGAGGGUGAUCGGCCACACUGGAACUGAGACACGGUCCAGACUCCUACGGGAGGCAGCAGUAGGGAAUCUUCCGCAAAGGGCGAAAGCCUGACGGAGCAACGCCGCGUGAGUGAUGAAGGUCUUCGGAUCGUAAAACUCUGUUAUUAGGGAAGAACAAAUGUGUAAGUAACUAUGCACGUCUUGACGGUACCUAAUCAGAAAGCCACGGCUAACUACGUG
rnacentral:rRNA from 1 species